ACGCUCUGCAUCCCCCCACGCUAUGAGAGAAGGCCGGCGAUUGGCGGCCGCAGCCGGGUAAAAGGCCAGAGGACGGAGUGAGAGUCUCCUGCGAUCUCACCUGCUUGCACAAGGACUGGAUGGUGAUCGGCCUUGGUGCCUGAUAAAGAUGACCAUAAAUGACAUGCCACUUCUGGCCAGCCACUGCCCUUGUAAGCUGAGUGGAAGGCAGUCUGUUUUCAAUGGAAGAUCUGUUUGCUGGACAUCCUGCUUCCUCCUUCUGUCUGCUCUCUACCAGGGACUUGCCAUGGUAACACAGUGUGCCUGCAAAAUCAGUAUGAAAAAGAUAAAGCUGACUGGAGCACUCCUAAGAUCCAUUUAAAACAACCUGAAUAAAAUUACUUCAGAUUCAAAGUGA